rnacentral:rRNA from 1 species
AGUAGUGACGAGCGAACGCGGACCAGGCCAGUAAUAUCAGCGAUAGAACCAGAACUGUCUGGAAAGGCAGGCCGGAGUGGGUGAUAGCCCCGUAUGGGUAGAGGUCGUUGAUAUUCUUGAGUAGGGCGGGACACGUGAAAUCCUGUCUGAACAUGGGGGGACCACCCUCCAAGCCUAAGUACUCCUCAGCGACCGAUAGUGAACAAGUACCGUGAGGGAAAGGUGAAAAGUACCCCGGGAGGGGAGUGAAAUAGUACCUGAAACCGUGUGCCUACAAGCCGUGAGAGCCUUAUGCCGCUUCGGUG